AAUAGAUUUAAUUUAUAAAAUCAUUUUAUUUGUUUUUGUAUUUGUUAAUAAUUCAAUUUUGUUUUGUAAUAUAUUAUUUGUACUGUGAAGGUUGAUUGAAAUAAUAAUAAAUUAUUAAUUAAGUUUACUUUAUUUAUUGUACCUUGUGUAUCAGGGUUAAUUAAUCAUUUUUUAUAGAUUUUAAUGUUCUCGAUUUUGUAAGAGUUAAUUUAUUAUUUUAUUUAUUGUUUUAUAAAUAUUAAUAAUGAUAAAUUGGCAGUGAAAUGUUAAUCGUUUAUAAGGAUAUCUAGUUUUUUGGGAAAUAAAUUUAAUUUACAUUUUUUCUUUAAUUUUUUUCUUUAUAAUUUUGUUUAAGUUUGAAUGAUUAAUNAGGGGGAUAAGCUCUUUUUUAAAUUUCUAUGAAAUAUAAUAUUUAUUUAGUUAUGUGGAUUUAAUANUNAUUAUCAUUAUGAGUGUNUUAAAAUUUUAUUUUNUUUUUAAUUGAUUUAAAUUUUUCUGGGUUUAUACUAAAAUUUUUUAUUAAAUUUUUUUUUAAUUUUAAUUAUGAUUNAAUUAGUAUAAUGAAUUUUAUUNAAAUAUUUUUAUUNNGNNUGAGUUAGAGGAAUUAGGCAAAAAGGAAUUGUUCGCCUGUUUAACAAAAACAUCUUCUCUUGAUUUAAAUAUGAGAUAUAACCUGCUCAAUGAAUAGUAUUUUUAAAUGGCCGCGGUAUAUUAACCGUGCAAAGGUAGCAUAAUCAUUAGUCUUUUAAUUGUAGGCUGGAAUGAAUGGUUGGACGAGAUAAUAACUUUCUUAGACUUAUUAAUUUGAAUUUAAUUAUUGUGUCAAAAAGCGCAAAUUUUUUUNUGGGACGAGAAGACCCUAUAGAGUUUAAUACUUAAUUUANUUUNNAANAUUNGNNGUUUUNNAAAUUAAAUUAAAUAUUUUGUUGGGGUGAUAUGAAGAUAAAAUUAACUCUUUAUAUUAUUUGUUUAUUGAUUAAUAUACUUUUGAUCCAUUUUUAGUGAUUGAAAGANUAAAUUACCUUAGGGAUAACAGCGUAAUCUUUUUUGAGAGUUCUUAUCGACAAAUAAGGAUUNCGACCUCGAUGUUGGAUUAAGAUUAUUCUUGGGUGUAAAAGCUUAAGUUUUAGGUCUGUUCGACCUUUAAAUUCUUACAUGAUCUGAGUUCAAACCGGCGUGAGCCAGGUUGGUUUCUAUCUAUUAAUAAUUUUAUUAUUUUAGUACGAAAGGACCAAAUAUUAAAAAUAAUUUUUUUGGAUUGAAUAAUAUUAAUAUUAACUAUUUUGGCAGAUAAGUGCAA
rnacentral:rRNA from 1 species